rnacentral:rRNA from 1 species
UGGGGAAUUUUGGACAAUGGGCGAAAGCCUGAUCCAGCAAUGCCGCGUGUGUGAAGAAGGCCUGCGGGUUGUAAAGCACUUUUGUCCGGAAAGAAAUGGCUCUGGUUAAUACCUGGGGUCGAUGACGGUACCGGAAGAAUAAGGACCGGCUAACUACGUGCCAGCAGCCGCGGUAAUACGUAGGGUCCAAGCGUUAAUCGGAAUUACUGGGCGUAAAGCGUGCGCAGGCGGUUGUGCAAGACCGAUGUGAAAUCCCCGAGCUUAACUUGGGAAUUGCAUUGGUGACUGCACGGCUAGAGUGUGUCGGAGGGGGGUAGAAUUCCACGUGUAGCAGUGAAAUGCGUAGAGAUGUGGAGGAAUACCGAUGGCGAAGGCAGCCCCCUGGGAUAACACUGACGCUCAUGCACGAAAGCGUGGGGAGCAAACAGG